AUUGCUUCUCAGUCUUUGGCUAAGGUCAAGUGUAGUAUCUGCCCUUAUCAGUUUAAUAAUUAUUAAUAAAGCUCUAACUUUGUCAUUUGCACCAAAAAAUAUUUUUCAAAUCUGAAAGUUUAUUUUUAAGAAAAGGUUUUAUUUUCUGGACAGCCUGCUUUGAGAAUGAUAGGCUUGGGGAAUUCUUA
ensembl:snRNA U2 U2 spliceosomal RNA